rnacentral:rRNA from 1 species
GAUCGAGAGACCAUGCUUCGUAYKCCAACCCCAUGUGAACGUUACCAAACUGUUGCCUCGGCGGGAUCUCUGCCCCGGGUGCGUCGCAGCCCCGGACCAAGGCGCCCGCCGGAGGACCAACCAAAACUCUUAUUGUAUACCCCCUCGCGGGUUUUUUUAUAAUCUGAGCCUUCUCGGCGCCUCUCGUAGGCGUUUCGAAAAUGAAUCAAAACUUUCAACAACGGAUCUCUUGGUUCUGGCAUCGAUGAAGAACGCAGCGAAAUGCGAUAAGUAAUGUGAAUUGCAGAAUUCAGUGAAUCAUCGAAUCUUUGAACGCACAUUGCGCCCGCCAGUAUUCUGGCGGGCAUGCCUGUCCGAGCGUCAUUUCAACCCUCGAACCCCUCCGGGGGGUCGGCGUUGGGGAUCGGCCCUGCCUUGGCGGUGGCCGUCUCCGAAAUACAGUGGCGGUCUCGCCGCAGCCUCUCCUGCGCAGUAGUUUGCACACUCGCAUCGGGAGCGCGGCGCGUCCACAGCCGUUAAACACCCAACUUCUGAAAUGUUGASCUCGGAUCAGGUAGGAAUACCCGCUGAACUUAAGCAUAUCRAUAAGCGGARGAAAA